GCGAUAAAAGUUCUGUAGUAGAAUUCUCACCUUCCAUGUGGGAGACCUGGGUUCAAUUCCUGGUCAAUGCA
rnacentral:tRNA from 1 species